rnacentral:misc_RNA from 1 species
AAGUCGUAACAAGGUUUCCGUAGGUGAACCUGCGGAAGGAUCAUUACUAAAGUAUCCAAAUACUUACCCAAACCGCGAACCGUUUUACCUCCCUAGUUUUCUCGCGUAUUUUUCGGAAUCGCGUCCACUAGGUGAGCCCCACAUAUAACUUAACCUUAUGGACUAAAAUAUUUAUUUGACUAUUUAUUUUAUUAUAUAAAUAAAAUACAACUUUCAGCAACGGAUCUCUAGGCUCUU